UACGGAGGGGGCUAGCGUUGUUCGGAAUUACUGGGCGUAAAGCGCACGUAGGCGGCUUUGCAAGUCAGAGGUGAAAGCCCGGGGCUCAACCCCGGAAUUGCCUUUGAGACUGCAUCGCUAGAAUUGUGGAGAGGUAAGUGGAAUUCCGAGUGUAGAGGUGAAAUUCGUAGAUAUUCGGAAGAACACCAGUGGCGAAGGCGACUUACUGGACACGUAUUGACGCUGAGGUGCGAAAGCGUGGGGAGCAAACAGG
rnacentral:rRNA from 1 species